UAAGAAAAUGGAGGGUCUCAAGA
rnacentral:piRNA from 1 species